rnacentral:rRNA from 1 species
UACGUAGGAGGCGAGCGUUAUCCGGAUUUACUGGGCGUAAAGCGUGUGCAGGCGGUUUGAUAAGUUGGAUGUGAAAGCUCCUGGCUUAACCGGGAGAGGUCGUUCAAAACUAUCAGACUAGAGAGUGGUAGAGGGAGAUGGAAUUCCGCGUGUAGUGGUGAAAUGCGUAGAUAUGCGGAGGAACACCAGUGGCGAAAGCGGUCUCCUGGCCCAUUUCUGACGCUCAGACACGAAAGCUAAGGUAGCAAACGGG